GGGGCUUUAGCUCAGCUGGGAUGAGCGCUUGGCUGGCAGCCAAGAGGUCACGGGUUCGAUCCCCGUAAGCUCCACCA
rnacentral:tRNA from 1 species